UACGUAGGGGGCAAGCGUUGUCCGGAUUUAUUGGGCGUAAAGGGCGCGUAGGCGGCGGGGUAAGUCGGGUGUGAAAUCUCAGGGCUCAACCCUGAAACUGCACUUGAUACUGCUCUGCUUGAGGACUGGAGAGGAGACUGGAAUUCACGGUGUAGCAGUGAAAUGCGUAGAUAUCGUGAGGAAGACCAGUGGCGAAGGCGGGUCUCUGGACAGUUCCUGACGCUGAGGCGCGAAGGCCAGGGGAGCAAACGGG
rnacentral:rRNA from 1 species